rnacentral:rRNA from 1 species
ACCCUACGGGACGCAGCAGUGGGGAAUAUUGCACAAUGGGGGAAACCCUGAUGCAGCGACGCCGCGUGAGUGAAGAAGUAUUUCGGUAUGUAAAGCUCUAUCAGCAGGGAAGAAAUAGCGACCUUUGGGUCGCCAGACGGUACCUGAUUAAGAAGCCCCGGCUAACUACGUGCCAGCAGCCGCGGUAAUACGUAGGGGGCAAGCGUUAUCCGGAUUUACUGGGUGUAAAGGGGGCGCAGACGGCAAUGCAAGCCAGGAGUGAAAGCCCGGGGCCCAACCCCGGGACUGCUCUUGGAACUGCAUGG